GUUGUGUCCAUUUGGUCGGUUUAGGUGGGAAGUACUGUAGCAAUUAGCACCUCUUAGCAGACUUCACACAUUGCAGCAUUGAUCAGUUUGGAUGUAGACUUGACACAGACUAGGAGCAAAGUGUAAACUGGCCAUGGGCAUUUUUGCCACUACUGAGAGCCUCUGAAGGGGUAUAAUAGUCCCACACAACUUUUAUUAAACCUUUCACAGAUAAUGCAAUGUGCAUUCUAUAUUUUUGUGAAGAGGGGAAGGUUAAUUUACAGUGAUUGAGACCAAUUUUUUUAAAAGAUACUUUAACUUUGAAGGACUUAAAAAGUCUUCUUCUCUUUUAUGAAUACAUCUGGGAUUUAUGUUCCCAAGUCCUGCUCUAUAUCAUCAUACUGUGAAGAUGGUGGCUUCCCAUUUGAUUGUGAAUUAUUCUAUUUAGUUAUAUUUAAGACAUUAACAUUUCUCUGUCACACUUGUAAAGUGCCUAGUAUAGUAGUAUGUUUCUCUUAAUCUUUUUAGAGUUUGCUCCUCUGUGUAGUUUAGUGUAAUGACCUCACUAUUCUGUGCAGCAUAGAGAAUUAUCUUCUGUAUUACACAGCAGCUUUCCUUGAAUUGAGUACUUUGGGGACAAAAGUAUCUGUCCAGGAAGUGCCCCCAUUUCUUCUGUACAUCCCUAAGCUUAGACACAUUUGAUUUCUUGGUUGCUUCUUGGGAAGAGCCUGCUCUUGAAAAGAGGAGCCAACAUCUGGGCUCAUUACUGAAAGACACAAGUGAGGAAGAUAAUAUCUAAUAAUCUUUCUUUAAAACCACAGGAUACAGCUUCUUAAUGCACCCAGAAACCAUCUCCCAGCUAGUUCUGGUCCCCCUUGCAACCUCCAGACAUGGAAAAUUUCAGAAUGGCUGCAUCUGAAGGCCAGUUGGAACCAAAGGACUUACUACUUGUAAUCUUUCAGAGUGGACAGGACAGUGUACUGCAUGGGAAUUGUCUUAAAGUGUUGAAUUGCUGGCAUUUCCUGACAGACUUUUGGAACAAGGUGUGUCUCCUGUAUCUUGAAUGAGGCAUUCUAUUCUACUGAUAAAUAAUGCUCUAGUUUUGAUUAACCAUUCUAGUAUUGUUGCUUUUGUCAAGAAUAUUUAAUAAAGUAGUUAACUGAAUUAGCA
rnacentral:lncRNA from 1 species